GCAUUAUCGUAUCAUUAUACGGAGGAGAGUCGAUACGAAACGAAAUAUCGUAUUUUGCGAAUAAUCGCAUAACACGUGGAGUUGAUUGUAACCAAGAUAUUUCAAUCGAUAAUUAAAGUCAAAAAAAAACACCCGGUAUGCAAAAAAUAACACACACGUGCAACCAUUCGUAAUGGUGUACACUCAGAAAUGGGAUGGUACCGCUUUGUUCCUCGCGCUGACCUUCGUUCUAUUAAAGUAUAAAUUGCUUUAAAGCACAGCGUGGAUCAAAAUGGGCUGCUUUUUGGAGAAAGAAGACACCGAGGCGAGAGAAAAAAACCAAAGAGAGGGUGGCGGAGAGAGGGAGAGAGAGAGAGAGAGAAUGGUAUCCCGAGCUCCACGAGAAAUUGUCGUUUUACGACGUUUCCAUAAAUAUCAAGGAGGAUCGUGGAGAAUAAACACAUCCACUCGACGGCGUGACACCAUUUAUUACCCUCGGUACAGGCAAAGCCCAAACGACUUUCAUCCCGCUUUCGAAGCUUUCUCCGAAGCACCCCGGUGUGCCGAAAAAGUGUCUCCAUGUUGCUUUUUUCCUGUUCUAUACACGACCCGAUUUUUACGUAACUGGCGCCAUUCUUCGUCAAUCGCCGGCCUUCGACC